CAACUACUCCCUCUGUCCCAAAUUUCUUGUCUUAGAUUUGUCUAGAUACGGAUGUAUCUAAUACUAAAAUGUGACUUGAUACAUCCGUGUCUAGAAAAAUCUAAGACAAAAAUUUUGGGACGGAGGGAGUACUUU
rfam:Triticum aestivum genome assembly, contig: Triticum_aestivum_CS42_TGACv1_scaffold_374290_5AL